rnacentral:lncRNA from 10 species
GGCCAUUAGGCCUGGUGGAACCGCCAUCAAUAAAUCAAGCGUGAUCAGGGUGAGGAACAGGAAAGAAGGAAAUUUGGGGAAAUGCGGUGAAUGUCAGGUGGAUCAGAGAGAUACAGUCAUGGGGGUCAGGGUCAGUCCAAGUGAAAGCGAAGAGAGGCUGGGAUUAAGGGUACAAAGGAAUAGUAAAGAAAGCAUGUUUGAGAUAUAGAACAGGAUAAUGGGUUGUAGACGCAGGUAGUGAGGAUAGGAGAGUAUAUGGGUUUGGCACCACGGGGUGGAUAGGCAAAACAAUUUGGUUGAUAAGGCACAGAUCCUGAACUAACUUGUAAGGCUUGUCUGGUUUUAGGACAGGUAAAAUGGGGGAAUUUGUAAGGAGAAUUUAUAGGCUUUAAAAGGCCAUGCUAUAGCAGGCAAGUGAUAACAGGCUUUAAUCUUUUUAAAGCGUGCUGCAGGAUGGGAUAUUGGCGUUGAGUGGGGUAAGGGUGAUUAGGUUUUAAUGAGAUGGGAAGGGGUGCAUGAUCAGUCGCCAAGGAGGGAGUAGAGAUUGAUCUCCCAAGGGAGGUCCCCCGAUCCG